rnacentral:misc_RNA from 1 species
UUCUUCCUGCUCCCAGUUUUGCCUUCUGCUCAGGUGAAUGCUGAACGUCACCAAUCAUACUAAAUCAUACGCAUUAUUACUCGUUCUUCGUCAUUGUUAUUUAUCGUAGCAGAUAAAUCAGUGCGAGUUAUUUCGAUGACGAUGACAACGAGUUCCAAGCAGGGUUCCAAGCGUUCGAAAUGGGCCUUGGACUUUGCUCACAAAACAAAACAAGACAAAAGCGUGGAGAUACCGUCCCCACCAGGAUACACACCCACUGGUUCCCUCUUUCACAAUGUUGAAUAUAUGAGAGAAUCUGACUCCAAUCAUUUAAUAAUCAAGAAGUCCUGGGAUCUGGCAUUGGGUCCCCUUAAACAAGUACCCAUGAAUCUAUUUAUUAUGUAUAUGGCUGGCAAUUCCAUCUCAAUCUUUCCUAUCAUGAUGGUCUGUAUGCUUAUCAUCAGGCCAGUCAAAGCACUGUUCACGCUACAGCAGACAUUCAAAGUGAUCGAAGGAACACACGCGUUCGGACAGAAAUUUGUAUAUUUCUUAGGACAGUUGGUUAAUAUCGCGUUAGCAUUAUACAAGUGUCAGUCCAUGGGUCUGUUACCAACACAUGCAUCCGAUUGGCUGGCGUUCGUGGAGCCGCAGGCACGAGUGGAGUACUCCGGUGGUGGUUUCAUAUAUAUUUGAUGUGCAUAGUCGCUCGGUAGCAGACUUAAUAAGAACAUCACAAUAAGUGCAUAUGUACGCUCGACAAGAGUGCAAUCAAACUCUUGUAUUCGUUGGUACAAUUUGGAUGGCUCAUCUACACGUGGCACCUACAAAAGAAAUAUAGUCCUGCAGAAAGCGACAAUAUGUUGCGUACACAUGCGUACAUGUAGCCUUAUACAAUUUCCAAAUUUGAAUCAUUUAAGGAUGCAAGUAUUGUAUUACAGCAAGUUGCAUAUUACAGCUAUUUAUACAAAGAACUGCUAGCUAGUAUAACUACAUCUUAGAUUAAUACGUUAAAAGAGAAGUUUGUUUGAAUAAAACAAAUAAAUUAGG